GGGGGAUAACUAGUCGAAAGACUAGCUAAUACCGCAUACGACCUGAGGGUGAAAGUGGGGGACCGCAAGGCCUCAUGCUAUAGGAGCGGCCGAUGUCUGAUUAGCUAGUUGGUGGGGUAAAGGCCCACCAAGGCGACGAUCAGUAGCUGGUCUGAGAGGACGAUCAGCCACACUGGGACUGAGACACGGCCCAGACUCCUACGGGAGGCAGCAGUGGGGAAUUUUGGACAAUGGGGGCAACCCUGAUCCAGCAAUGCCGCGUGUGUGAAGAAGGCCUUCGGGUUGUAAAGCACUUUUGUCCGGAAAGAAAUCGCACUGGUUAAUACCUGGUGUGGAUGACGGUACCGGAAGAAUAAGGACCGGCUAACUACGUGCCAGCAGCCGCGGUAAUACGUAGGGUCCAAGCGUUAAUCGGAAUUACUGGGCGUAAAGCGUGCGCAGGCGGUUGUGCAAGACCGAUGUGAAAUCCCCGGGCUUAACCUGGGAAUUGCAUUGGUGACUGCACGGCUAGAGUGUGUCAGAGGGAGGUAGAAUUCCACGUGUAGCAGUGAAAUGCGUAGAGAUGUGGAGGAAUACCGAUGGCGAAGGCAGCCUCCUGGGAUAACACUGACGCUCAUGCACGAAAGCGUGGGGAGCAAACAGGAUUAGAUACCCUGGUAGUCCACGCCCUAAACGAUGUCAACUAGUUGUUGGGGAUUCAUUUCCUUAGUAACGUAGCUAACGCGUGAAGUUGACCGCCUGGGGAGUACGGUCGCAAGAUUAAAACUCAAAGGAAUUGACGGGACCCGCACAGCGGUGGAUGAUGUGGAUUAAUUCGAUGCACGCGAAAACCUUACCUACCUUGACAUGCCACUA
rnacentral:rRNA from 1 species